rnacentral:rRNA from 1 species
UACGUAGGGGGCGAGCGUUGUCCGAAUUUACUGGGCGUAAAGAGCAUUAAGGCGGUCUCUUAAGUGAGGGGUGAAAGGUUCGGGCUCAACCCGAACACUGCCUUUCAUACUGGGAGACUUGAGUGCGGGAGAGGCGAAUGGAAUUCCUGGUGUAGCGGUGAAAUGCGUAGAUAUCAGGAGGAACACCCAUGGCGAAGGCAGUUCGCUGGCCUGCAACUGACGCUGUAGUGUGAAAGCGUGGGGAGCAAACAGG